CUCAAAGGAAUUGACGGGGGCCUGCACAUGCGGUGGAGCAUGUGGUUUAAUUCGAAGCAACGCGCAGAACCUUACCAGCGUUUGACAUCCUCAUCGCGGAUUUCAGAGAUGAUUUCCUUCAGUUCGGCUGGAUGAGUGACAGGUGCUGCAUGGCUGUCGUCAGCUCGUGUCGUGAGAUGUUGGGUUAAGUCCCGCAACGAGCGCAACCCUCGCCUUUAGUUGCCAGCAUUUGGUUGGGUACUCUAAAGGAACCGCCGGUGAUAAGCCGGAGGAAGGUGGGGAUGACGUCAAGUCCUCAUGGCCCUUACGCGCUGGGCUACACACGUGCUACAAUGGCGACUACAGUGGGCUGCAACCGUGCGAGCGGUAGCUAAUCUCCAAAAGUCGUCUCAGUUCGGAUUGUUCUCUGCAACUCGAGAGCAUGAAGGCGGAAUCGCUAGUAAUCGCGGAUCAGCAUGCCGCGGUGAAUACGUUCCCAGGCCUUGUACACACCGCCCGUCACACCAUGGGAUUUGGAUUCACCCGAAGGCACUGCGUUAACCCGC
rnacentral:rRNA from 1 species